rnacentral:rRNA from 1 species
AUUGAACGCUGGCGGCAGGCUUAACACAUGCAAGUCGAACGAGUGGCGGACGGGUGAGUAAUGCUUGGGAAUCUGGCUUAUGGAGGGGGAUAACGACGGGAAACUGUCGCUAAUACCGCGUACCAUAGGAUGAGCCCAAGUGGGAUUAGGUAGUUGGUGGGGUAAUGGCCUACCAAGCCGACGAUCUCUAGCUGGUCUGAGAGGAUGACCAACCACACCGGGACUGAAGACACGCCCCGACUCCUACGGGAGGCAGCCGUGGGGAAGUUUUCGGAAUUGGGGCAACCUGACGGAACCAUGCCGCGUGAAUGAAGAAGGCCUUCGGGUUUGAAAGGUCUUUCGGUUACGAGGCGGUAAUCACAGAAGAAGCACCGGCUAACUCCGUGCCAGCAGCCGCGGUAAUUC